UAAUAUCCGCAAAUAACAACAGCUCCCAGCCAUCAUCAACUUCAGAAAAAUCAACAAUUACACCGACACCAACAGCACCCGACAACAUUAUCAACAGCUACAUCAAUCCGUAUCAGCAACAUCAAUGACACCCAUAAUUUCAACACAACAACAGUAAAACAAUUUUGAAAUUCAAAUCUUAACUAGUUUUUCCUUCUUUACCCUUCUGAUUUCCCCCAAAACGACCCUAAAUUCUUCUAUAAAUAUCCACAUAUGUAGAGUGAUGGAAGAAGGGCUUUUCGGGGAAAAUUUUGGAGAUUUUGGAGGCGCGCGCUUCUGAUCUCACGUAACCGAAAAUCUUCGAAGAACACUCAAAGAAAAGAAUCAAAUUCGACGAUUUGUUGGAAUUUCAGUGAUCGGAAUUGGGUCUCGGUGGUGGAAAUCGCAACGUGAUAAGCUUGUUGUUCCGUUCGCUGCCCGAAAAUAGUCCCUUGGACUCUCAUCCCUCGCAUUCUGUUGGGUUAAACCCAACUUGCAUCGAGUCAAGACCCGCACCAAGUUCGAAGUGGACUAAUACAUGAAGUAAAAUGGACUGAUACAAAGCUGUACACACAAAUAUACAGCGGUAUACUGAGGAUAUUCGACUGGAAAUGAAAAAAGGAAACUAGUGUGCAGGUGGAAGACUAAAAUAUCAGCAUAUGUGGCUGAUAUACGGUCUGAUAUACACUAUAUAUACACAAAAACGUGGGAAAAAGGAGCUGUAGUAUACAGAUGAUAUGUACAUUGAAAUAAUGGACUGAAAUUCAUGAGAUUUAGGCCCAAAAUCUGGGCAAGCCCAUAAAUGGGCCUAAAGGACCCAAUUCUAACUCUUCCUUUAUUUCCUCUUCUUAUUUAUUUGUAUUUAUUUGAACACCCUAACUAAUUAAUUUAGAUAAAUCAUCUACGUCGUUAUAAUUUUA